rnacentral:rRNA from 1 species
CACGUAGGGCGCAAGCGUUGUCCGGAAUUAUUGGGCGUAAAGAGCUCGUAGGCGGUCUGUUGCGUCCGCUGUGAAAACUCGGGGCUUAACCCCGAGCCUGCAGUGGAUACGGGCAGACUAGAGGUAGGUAGGGGAGAAUGGAAUUCCCGGUGUAGCGGUGAAAUGCGUUGAUAUCCAGCGGAACUCCGGUGGCGAAGGCGAGGUGCUGGACCCUUUCUGACGCUGAGGCGCGAAAGCCAGGGGAGCAAACGGG